rnacentral:rRNA from 1 species
UACGUAGGGACCGAGCGUUGUCCGGAUUCAUUGGGCGUAAAGAGCUCGUAGGCGGCUGUUCAAGUCGAACGUGAAAACUCGGAGCUCAACUCCGAGCCUGCGUUCGAUACUGGACGGCUAGAGUCUGGUAGGGGGAUCUGGAAUUCCUGGUGUAGCGGUGGAAUGCGCAGAUAUCAGGAGGAACACCGGUGGCGAAGGCGGCCACCUGGACGGUAACUGACGCUGAGACGCGAAAGCGUGGGGAGCAAACAGG